UCUAUGCGUGACAUCCCGAGGGCUUCCUUUGUUGCUUCAUAGAUCGGAAACAUCGACCUAAACUAGUUAACAUGUAUAAAUAGGAGGGUACAUUGGCAGUCAAUCGACAUAGCAGAGAGAGAGAGAGAGAGAUUGUGGCCAUGGCAACCAGCAAAGCUGCUACGUUCUAUUCCUUGGCCGUCCUCUUAGCGCUCCUCCUUACCAUCUCCUCGACCGAGGGGAGGCUGACUCUGGUGGUGCGGAAAACAUCGCUACCGAGCUGCAAGACUGUUUACGGGGUGAAGAGCGGCGACACGUGCUUCGCAGUCGCUCAGCUGUUCCACCUGACAGCUUUCGAGUUCAGUGCCAUCAAUCCUAAUCUUGACUGCGAUAAACUCUUUGUGGACCAAUGGCUGUGCAUCAACGGGAUCGCUUGAAGGAAGGCUUCCUUCUUCGCAGCGAUAUUGGAUGUUCUUCUUCGUUUCUGUUGAAGAAGUAGUAAACUUGUGUGUGACAUGAUUGGGCGACAAAUUUUCUUUCUUCUCUGUUCCUUUUCUGUUGGGUGUUAAAGAGUCCCUCUCGAGGAUUCCAAGAAUAAUAUAUAUUCGAGUGUUCUACUAAAGAUUGUCAUCUUCACUGCGAUCAA